GGACCCGUAGUUCAGAUGGAUAGAAUGAUGCCCUCCGAAGGCAUAGAUCGUUGGUUCGAGCCCAAUCGGGUCCACCA
rnacentral:tRNA from 1 species